GGACUCUGGAGAAUCCCAUUGAAUUGGGUGCCGAAGGUGUAAGGCCGCUGUGGACCGAAUCUCUCAGGCAAAAGAACAGAGCAGGAA
rnacentral:ncRNA from 1 species